GACGAACGCUGGCGGCGUGCCUAAUACAUGCAAGUCGAGCGGAACUGGGGGAGCUUGCUCCUUCCAGUUUAGCGGCGGACGGGUGAGUAACACGUGGGCAACCUGCCCUGCCGAUCGGGAUAACUCCGGGAAACCGGUGCUAAUACCGAAUAGUUUGGCGCCUCCCCUGAGGCGCUACGGAAAGACGGUUUCGGCUGUCACUGCAGGAUAGGCCCGCGGCGCAUUAGCUAGUUGGUGGGGUAACGGCCCACCAAGGCGACGAUGCGUAGCCGACCUGAGAGGGUGACCGGCCACACUGGGACUGAGACACGGCCCAGACUCCUACGGGAGGCAGCAGUAGGGAAUCUUCCGCAAUGGACGCGAGUCUGACGGAGCAACGCCGCGUGAGUGACGAAGGUUUUCGGAUCGUAAAACUCUGUUGUGAGGGAAGAACACGUACCAACUAACUAUUGGUACCUUGACGGUACCUCACCAGAAAGCCACGGCUAACUACGUGCCAGCCGCCGCCGUAA
rnacentral:rRNA from 1 species